UCCAACAAUCUGGGUUUGCAUCCUGGCUUAACACUUAGGAGCUGAGUGACUCCAGGCAAGCUACCUCACCUGCCUGAGUCUCCAUCUUCUCAUCUGCUAGACAGAAUAGUAAUAAUACAUGGUGAGAAUUCAGUGAAAUGAUGCAUGACCCUAAGGCAUCUAACAAGGAGCCUGGGACCUAGCAAAUGACCAAUACAUUUUAUUAAUGUAAUUAAUGUAAUGCAAUCAGUAAUGUGUUUAUAAUUAACGAUAUUAGUCAUGGCUCUGCCACUUCCUUGCUGUGUGACCUUGAGCAAGUUGCUUUGCCUCUCAGAGACCCAAUGUCAUGGACUGUAAAAUCGGGGUGUAAUACCUUCUUCUUGGGAUUGAAGGAGACAACCCAGGCGAAACAUCCAGCUCAGGGCUGGGCCACAGAGGUGUUCAGUUAGUGCCAGCUCCCUUUCCCCUUGCAAAUGCCGACUAGCCUCUAUCGGGUAAAGCCUGCUGCUUCCAUUUCCCCUAUCAGCAUCCCUUUCAUGCAGAAUUCUCAAAAGGCAGAGACAGACUUUGUGGAAAUUGAUUCCAGGGGCAGAGCCCAUGCAGCAGGUACAAUACUCUGAGAAGUUCUGCAUCCCCGGAGACAGCGGCUGUGUGAAGGAGACACCGGAGACCUCGCUCUCCCCACUGAGGCUUUUCACCAGGAACAAAGCCAAAAAGGCUGCUCUAAAAGGGUGCUGAUGGCCUGUCUGGAGGCAAGAAAUGAACCAAAUAAGCCUUCUGAGCCUGGGGCUAUGUCUGGAAGAGCUUGGUCCUGGUAGCUUUUCAACUAAGAAAAUGAGGGCUCUCAGCCAGGAGGAAAGACUUGUCCUGAAACUAUGAAUCCAGGCAACACAGAGGUCACAGAUGCCACUCCUCUCCCCACCCCAGGGGACUCAGUGUCUCCAGGAGCAUUCCCUGGUCUCAGGGCACUGGGUUCUGGCCAAGGGAGAGCCCGGAGAUGUGCACACCUCACAGUCCAGGGUAGGAGGCAGAAUCUCUGAAUCGCUUUAUUGAUGCCCCGGGAAUUGACGCGAGAGUCCUAAAGGAUCCUGCCCCACAAAAUCGUCCUCUGAAAUGUAUGUAGGCUCUCUUACCCUUAUGUUCUAACCCUUGAAUGUAUUAAGCAGUUUGAAAUGCAAAUAGAUUGGGUUUUUGUAAGUGGAUUUGAAGGUGUCUUUUUCACGUCUAUUACC